rnacentral:rRNA from 1 species
UACAGAGGUCUCAAGCGUUGUUCGGAUUCAUUGGGCGUAAAGGGUGCGUAGGCGGCGCGGUAAGUCGGGUGUGGAAAUCAUUGGAGCUUAACUCCGAAACUGCAUUCGAUACUGCCGUGCUUGAGGACUGGAGAGGAGACUGGAAUUUACGGUGUAGCGGUGAAAUGCGUAGAUAUCGUAAGGAAGACCAGUGGCGAAGGCGGGUCUCUGGACAGUUCCUGACGCUGAGGCACGAAGGUCAGGGGAGCAAACGGG